UACGGGGGGGGCAAGCGUUGUUCGGAAUUACUGGGCGUAAAGGGCUCGUAGGCGGCCAACUAAGUCAUACGUGAAAUCCCUCGGCUUAACCGGGGAACUGCGUCUGAUACUGGAUGGCUUGAGUUCGGGAGAGGGAUGCGGAAUUCCAGGUGUAGCGGUGAAAUGCGUAGAGAUCGGGCGGAACACCAGCGGCGAAGGCGGCAUCCUGGCCCUGACCUGACGCUGAGGCGCGAGAGCGUGGGGAGCAAACCGG
rnacentral:rRNA from 1 species